rnacentral:lncRNA from 1 species
AUGAAAGUGGGGACCAUCUCGAAAGGCAGUGAGAAGACGGAUUCUACAGCACUGCUUUCAUUCAAUUGGGCUUUUGGCACUCCAUUCGAAUCCAGAACCUCACCUCUAGCUCAGACCAAGAAUUGGCACUUCUGCUUGAAUUCCUGGAAAGAAUCGCUGGUUUUGUAACUUAAGACUUGCCUGGGAAUACCUCUACAGUUUACAUCCUUUUAUUUGGGAGAAAAUACCGAGGCAACCAGGAAGAAAUGAAAAAAAAAAAUCGAUGUGGAAGGUUCCUCCAGUGCCCUGGCUGUUUGAGGUUCCGGAUCAACUGUCAAGGGUAAAUUUCAUUGCAUGAUUUUCUUGGAGCUAUCUUUGUCUACCUGGAGGUUCCUAAACAGUGAAUUCCCAGUAAUGAGCAGUCUUCAGUAUUAAAACCACUGUCUUGUCACCUCAUUUUGCAUUACUGUCUUCCGUGGAUGUUUCAGUUAUAACUAAUGUUAUUUAUAGAACAGCAUUAAUCCAUUAAAGCUAACCUAUUUUUCAAUAUUUAUGAUAAUCUUAUGUACAUACAGUGUCUGUCCAUAUGUAUUUGUAAAUAGGUUGUAUAUAAUGUCAGGUUUGGGUCUUGGGUUGAAAUGUAUAUAUCCUUCCUUACAAGUUUCUUAACUGCAUUUUGAUGAAUUCACAUUAUGUAUCUAUAAGAAUUGUCCCAAAAGUACCUGUACAGAGAUUUCAAUAAACAAAUUGACAAAUUGUGUAAACACUAAAAAUUUAAAAUACUGUUAAAAUUGUAUUUGCAAUAAGCAGACUACGUGAACAACACAUUUUUUUCAUGAAAACUUGGUGCAGGUUCAGAACUCUAAAAUUUUAAAUAAGGUCUAAAUUUUCAAAAUGUAGUAGCUAUUAAAACGAUCUAGUGUAAUGAAAUCAAAUAUGCUCUAGUGUGGUGGAAGACCUUUGAGAACCUGAUUGUGGUAAGCUUUCUGUAUAUAAUGUAAAUAUCCUCACUGUACUGUUAUAGAGGCCAACAAUUCCAGUAAGACUUGUUGGCAAAGAGUGCUACACGUUUCAAUGAAACAUUGUAUGUUUGUUUUAACUGAACUAAAAUAAAUACAUGCUUAAUCCUGAGUAGCAGUGUUUUAUUUAAAGCAGUGAUAAGUCGUGUCUGGUGUGUUUUGUAAGCACAGUAAGGUAGCACUUAGUAGGGGUUCAUAUAGUGUUAGUGAUUAUGAUGAAGAAAAAAUGGUCAUCAAAAAUAUUUGCAUACCAAGUAUUUGGAGGAAUGGAAAAAAUUUUUUUUUAAUCUGGAGGACCAAGUCUUAGACCUGCUGUAAGUAAAUAUAGUGCACCAUAAUCACACCUGGGGAGCUUUUUAAUGUGCCACUAUCUGGGGACUCCAGGUCCGAGAACUAGGGUCCUGAAUGGAAUUCAAUUUUCUGGAGCAUGUACCCAUGUAGGCUGAUCCCAUGGGUCUGGAGGGCAGCCUGGGAAGUUUUGUUUGUUUCCCCAGAAAAGUAUCCAAGUGAUUUCUGAUGCAUAAGUAAAAUAAGGGGUGCCGAAAUAGGCCUGGGAAGAAGUCAGGUGAGUUCAGCCCUUGUGAGAGGAAGGGCUAUGGCUGGAGAGAGAUUAGGCCAGCUGAAGGUUACCUGAGGGAUGAACACUGAGGAAGGUUACUGACAUACACAGGGUAGCUCAGGUGUGGCCUGCUGGUUGGUUGAAAGCUUGAGCCUUAGUGAAAUAGCCAAAACAGGUGUGCCAGGGAGCGGUUCCAAAGACAAAGGGAACCUUAAAUGUAAGAAAUUUAUAUCCAGUUACUAACAUUGUGCAAGAGGGAAGGAAAUAGUUAAUGUUUAGAAAGUACAGCAGAAUUUCCAUCAUCUCAAGAACAAAGGACUAGCAGAGUUUCUAGUCAUCCGAGAAGCUUUAAUGGAACACCUACUGUGUGCAAGUAACAUGCCCAUGGAAAGAGCCUGGGGUAAUGUGUCAGACUCAGGUUUUCACAGAAUCCAUAGUUUUCAAUCACACCAUUUUUAAAAUCUAGUGAAAUGAUUUUAAGAAAUACUAAACUUGGGAUGCCAGUUUAUUGAUCUGAAAUUUGAAAUAUAUUUGGUGGGUGGGUCCCUUGAGGUCAAAUUUCAGCUCUACAGAGAGGCAGAUAUUUCCAGUAAGCUUGAGGAACAGCCAAGGAACAGAAAAAUCCAGAGUUGUUUAUCAUCUUGGAAAUACUCUUACCUAGAGAAUUCGUUUUAGUUCAGUUUCUGACAACAAAGUAAAGAAGAUCCAGUUAAUUAACAUAAGCAAGAAUGAUGGCAGAGACUUCCUGUCAAAGGUGGGAAACCAGCUGUCUACUGGAGCAGUGAGUAGCCUUGUUAAGAACAACCUGAUGGAGUCAAUCCGCCAGGACUGGGAAGAAGGGGCCGUUCUGUUAUGGCUAUAAAAGAAAGAGCUUGACAUGCCCACACCACUGCUGCUGCUGCUGCUGCUAAGUCGCUUCAGUCGUGUCUGACUCUNNNNNNNNNNNNNNNNNNNNNCCAUAGACGGCAGCCCACCAGGCUCUGCCGUCCCUGGGAUUCUCCAGACGAGAACACUGGAGUGGGUUGCCAUUGCCUUCUCCAGCCCACACCACUGGACCUCUAGAAACUUUUAUGAGGUUCAUAUGAAACACAUUUUUAUCACUUUCUAAAAUAACAUUAAAAUGUCCAUUUGGUAUUUGCAUUGGACUGCAUCAAAAUAGUAGGUUAGCUAUGGAAACAAUAACACAUCCAGCAAAGACUCUUUUGUCCCUUCAUUUUGAAGUCAUUGUCUUUCUUGAAAAAUAAAAUGGCAGUGAGCUUCUUAGAAGGAGACUGGGGUACCUCAGAAAAUUAAAAGUCAAACAGGCUAAUACGACCCAGCAAUCCCACUGCUGGGCACACACACCAAGGAAACCAGAA